rnacentral:rRNA from 1 species
GAUGAACGCUAGCGAUAGGCCUAACACAUGCAAGUCGAGGGGCAUCACAUGAGGCAGCAAUGCCGAUGGUGGCGACCGGCGCACGGGUGAGUAACACGUAUGCAACCUGCCUUCAACAAGGGGAUAACCCGUUGAAAAACGGACUAAUACCCUAUAAUACAGGGGUCCCGCAUGGGGAUAUUUGUUAAAGAUUGAUCGGUUGAAGAUGGGCAUGCGUUCCAUUAGCUGGUUGGUGAGGUAACGGCUCACCAAGGCAACGAUGGAUAGGGGAACUGAGAGGUUUAUCCCCCACACUGGUACUGAGACACGGACCAGACUCCUACGGGAGGCAGCAGUGAGGAAUAUUGGUCAAUGGACGCAAGUCUGAACCAGCCACGUCGCGUGAAGGAAGACGGCCCUACGGGUUGUAAACUUCUUUUGUAAGGGAAUAAAGUGUAGUACGCGUACUAUUUUGCAUGUACCUUACGAAUAAGGAUCGGCUAACUCCGUGCCAGCAGCCGCGGUAAUU